ACCCGCUGGAUUUAAGCAUAUCAGUAAGCGGAGGAAAAGAAACUAACAAGGAUUGCCCCAGUAGCGGCGAGUGAACAGGCAAAAGCUCAAAAUGGAAAUCCUUUUUAUCACAGAAAAGGAAUUGUAAUCUAGAGGGCAGUUGCGAAGGCAUAAUCUCAGUAUGAGUCCCUUGGAAUAGGGCGCCAAAGAGGGUGAUAGCCCCAUACACGGCUGAGAUUGGCUGUAGGAGCUGUUUCAAAGAGUCGGGUUGUUUGGGAUUGCAGCCCUAAGUGGGAGAUAAACUUCUUCUAAAGCUAAAUAUUGAUGGGAAACCGAUAGCGAACAAGUACUACGAAGGAAAGAUGAAAAGAACUUUGAAAAGAGGGUUAAAAGACUUGAAAUCGUUGAGUAGGAAGCGGUUAGAGGGUAGUCACUUGCACCAAUAUUGGCGAGAGCUGGUCGGUUGCUGGGGAGGACGGUACGAAAGGCCCACUUUUCAGUUAAUAACGAACGGCUGCGUCUUAUUUGAAUGCGAAAGACAGAUUGGACAUCACGGUGCGGGAAUAAACAGGGAGGGCCGACCUGAGCACUAGCUUGGAGCCUCUUUGCAGAAACCGGAACUGGAUGUUGAGGGAUCCUGCGGGAGAAUCUGUCACGACGUCUCUAACUGACCCGUCUUGAAACACGGACCAAGGAGUGUACCAAUCAUGCGAGUGAUAGGGUGGAAAAACCCGAUCGCGCAGAGAAAUCGAGUAAAAGCAGCUAAUAACAAUGCAGCUGCGGCCUACCCUGAGUUUCUAACGAAGGGCUAGAGCAAGAGCAAGCUUGGUACGACCCGAAAGAUGGUGAACUACGCUUGAGUACGCCGAAGCCAGGGGAAACUCUGGUGGAAGGUGGAAGCGAUACUGACGUGCAAAUCGUUCGUCAAACUUGGGUGUAGGGGCGAAAGACUAAUCGAACCAUCUAGUAGCUGGUUCCCUCUGAAGUUUCUCUCAGGAUAGCUGAAGCCGCUUAAAAGCAGUUUUAUCAGGUAAAGCGAAUGAUUAGAGGAUCCGGAGUUCAGAGAACUUUGACCUAUUCUCAAACUUUAAAUUGGUAAGCACUCUUAGUUAUACUUAAUUGAACUAAGGGGUAGAAUGCAGGGCUUCAAGUGGGCCAUUUUUGGUAAGCAGAACUGGCGAUGAGGGAUGCUCCUUUCGUUGAGAUAAGGUGCCAAAGUCCCCGCUUAUCAGACACCAUAAAAGAUGUUGGUUCAUUUAGACAGCAGGACGGUGGCCCUGGAAGUCGGAACCCGCUAAGGAGUGUGUAACAACUCACCUGCCGAAUGAACUAGCUCUGAAAAUUGAUGGCGCUCAGCGGGGCACCGAUACUCAACCAUUGCUGCAAAUAAGAAGCAAGCAAUGCGUAAGAGGGCGUGGACGUCGGUGUGGAAGGCUAGGGUGUGAACCCGGCUGGAACGGCGUCUAGUGCAGAUCUUGGUGGUAGUAGCAAAUAUUCAAAUGAGAACUUUGAAGACCGAAGUGGGGAAGGGUUCCGCGAGAACAGCAAUUGGUCGCGGGUUAGUCGGUCCUAAGGCUAAGGCUAAAGCCGAAAGCAUGGAGAUGUUACAUCUCCGCUGCCGAAAGGGAAAGCGGUUAACAUCCCGCUACCUGCAUACGGAUAUUAUGCGGCAACGCAAACAAUCCCGAAGACGUCGGCAUGUGUCACUGGAAGAGUUCUCUUUUCUUUUUAACUAGUCAUGACCACGGAACUGGAUUAUCCAGAGAUCUGGUUGUACGCUAGGCAGAGCAGUCCACUCUACGGGCUGUCAGUUGCACACAUGAAGAUCAAUGAAAAUUCGGGGGCGAGGAUUAUUUCGUAGCAGGCCGUACCCAUAACCGCAUCAGGUCUCCAAGGUU
rnacentral:rRNA from 1 species